AAAGAGCUCGCCUCUUGCACCCUGGCCUUCGGGUCGCUUGAGGUUAAAUCAAUAGAAGGACACUAAGCAUGUAGAUCUCAAGGCCUAGUGCUGGCGGACGCGGGUUCGAUUCCCGCCGUCUCCACCA
rnacentral:tmRNA from 1 species